rnacentral:piRNA from 1 species
UGCCACUAACUGUGAGACAUGUGACAGACA